rnacentral:rRNA from 1 species
ACGGAAGGCAGCAGUGGGGAAUAUUGCACAAUGGGCGAAAGCCUGAUGCAGCGACGCCGCGUGAGUGAUGAAGUAUUUCGGUAUGUAAAGCUCUAUCAGCAGGGAAGAUAAUGACGGUACCUGACUGAGAAGCACCGGCUAAAUACGUGCCAGCAGCCGCGGUAAUACGUAUGGUGCAAGCGUUAUCCGGAUUUACUGGGUGUAAAGGGAGCGCAGGCGGUACGGCAAGUCUGAUGUGAAAGCCCGGGGCUCAACCCCGGUACUGCAUUGGAAACUGUCGAACUAGAGUGUCGGAGGGGUAAGUGGAAUUCCUAGUGUAGCGGUGAAAUGCGUAGAUAUUAGGAGGAACACCAGUGGCGAAGGCGACUUACUGGACGAUAACUGACGCUGAGGCUCGAAAGCGUGGGGAGCAAACAGGAUUAGAUACCCUGGUA